CCUUAUUACGAGAGGUGGAGGGAAUAGGCCCUGUGAAGCCCGGCAACCUGCGCAGAUGCGCAACGGUGCUAAAUCCUACAGAAUUUUUCUGAAAGAUGAGG
rnacentral:ncRNA from 1 species